UACGGGGGCUCCAAGCGUUGUCCGGUAUCAUUGGGCGUAAAGAGUUAUGUAGGCGGUCUUAUAAGUUAUUGGUUAAAUCUCCCGGCUCAACCGGGAAUCUGCUUGUAAUACUGUAAGACUAGAGAUAAUCAGGGGAAGAUAGAACGCAUGGUGUAGCGGUAAAAUGCUUUGAUAUCAUGCGGAAUACUAAAGGCGUAGGCAAUCUUCUGGGAUUUUUCUGACGCUGAGAUACGAAAGCGUGGGGAGCAAAACGG
rnacentral:misc_RNA from 1 species